GAUGAACGCUGGCGGCGUGCCUAAUACAUGCAAGUCGAGCGAACAGAUGAGGAGCUUGCUCCUCUGACGUUAGCGGCGGACGGGUGAGUAACACGUGGAUAACCUACCUAUAAGACUGGGAUAACUUCGGGAAACCGGAGCUAAUACCGGAUAAUAUAUUGAACCGCAUGGUUCAAUAGUGAAAGACGGUUUUGCUGUCACUUAUAGAUGGAUCCGCGCCGCAUUAGCUAGUUGGUAAGGUAACGGCUUACCAAGGCAACGAUGCGUAGCCGACCUGAGAGGGGGAUCGGCCACACUGGAGCUGAGACACGGUCCAGACUCCUAAGGGAGGCAGCAGUAGGGAAUCUUCCGCAAUGGGCGAAAGCCUGACGGAGCAACGCAGCGUGAGUGAUGAAGGUCUUCGGAUCGUAAAACUCUGUUAUUAGGGAAGAACAAAUGUGUAAGUAACUAUGCACGUCUUGACGGUACCUAAUCAGAAAGCCACGGCUAACUACGUG
rnacentral:rRNA from 1 species